rnacentral:rRNA from 1 species
UACGGGGGGAGCAAGCGUUGUUCGGAUUUACUGGGCGUAAAGGGCGCGUAGGCGGUCAGCACAAGUCAGUUGUGAAAUCUCCGGGCUUAACUCGGAAAGGUCAACUGAUACUGUGCGACUAGAGUGCGGAAGGGGCAACUGGAAUUCUCGGUGUAGCGGUGAAAUGCGUAGAUAUCGAGAGGAACACCGGCGGCGAAGGCGGGUUGCUGGGCCGACACUGACGCUGAUGCGCGAAGGCUAGGGGAGCAAACGGG